rnacentral:rRNA from 1 species
GAAUUUUGGACAAUGGGCGAAAGCCUGCUCCAGCAAUGCCGCGUGCAGGAUGAAGGUCUUCGGGUAGUAAACUGCUUUUGUACGGAACGAAAACCUUUUGGUUCAUCCCCUGGAGUCCUGACGGCACCGUAAGAAUAGGCACAGGAUAAAUCCGUGCCAGCAGCCGUGGUAAUACGUAGGGUGCAAGCGUUAAUCGGAAUUACUGGGCGUAAAGCGUGCGCAGGCGGUUUUGUAAGACAGAGGUGAAAUCCCCGGGCUCAACCUGGGAACUGCCUUUGUGACUGCAAGGCUAGAGUACGGCAGAGGGGGGUGGAAUUCCGCGUGUAGCAGUGAAAUGCGUAGAUAUGCGGAGGAACACCGAUGGCGAAGGCAACCCCCUGGGCCUGUACUGACGCUCAUGCACGAAAGCGUGGGGAGCAAACA